rnacentral:rRNA from 1 species
UGGGGAAUAUUGGACAAUGGGGGCAACCCUGAUCCAGCAAUGCCGCGUGUGUGAAGAAGGCCCUCGGGUUGUAAAGCCCUUUAGGUAGGGAAGAAGUUAUGUAGUUUAAGAGAUGACAUAAUUGACGGUACCUACAGAAUAAGCACCGGCUAACUCUGUGCCAGCAGCCGCGGUAAUACAGAGGGUGCAAGCGUUAAUCGGAAUUACUGGGCGUAAAGGGCGCGUAGGUGGUUUGAUAAGUUGGUUGUGAAAUCCCUGGGCUUAACCUAGGAACUGCAACCAAGACUGUUAAGCUGGAGUAUGAUAGAGGGUAGUGGAAUUUCCGGUGUAGCGGUGAAAUGCGUAGAUAUCGGAAGGAACACCAGUGGCGAAGGCGGCUACCUGGAUUAAUACUGACACUGAGGCGCGAGAGCGCGGGGAGCAAACAGG